rnacentral:rRNA from 1 species
AUUCUUUAUAUUGUGUCCGAUUGAGGGCAGUACGAUUGGCUUUGUUGAACCCGGAUAGCGGCUGACCGUUUGAACUAAUGCUGGGGAACCUGCCCGUGCAGAGAGGGGGAUAUCCCCUUGGGCAGGGUGUCAAAUACCCGUUCGGAUAAUUCUCUUCGGACCAUAGAGGGGUAACCAUUCCAGGGCCGAAGGGCCUCUUGUCCUCAUAUGUGCUCAUAUGGCAUUAGAUAGUAUGCCAGGAAGACUCCGCUAGGAGAAAAUCGCUAAGUGGUCUGAGAGGAUGACCAGCCACUUUGCAACUGAGACACGGGCCCAACUCCUACGGGAGGCAGCAGUGGGGAAUAUUGCACCAUGGGCGCUAGCGCGAUGCAGCUGUGCCGCGUGUAUGAAAAAGGUCUUCGGGUUGUAAAGAACUUUCCGCGAGGAUCAAGGGUUUGUGGUUAAUAACCCCAGUGAUUGACAUUACUCGCAAAAUAAGCAGCGGUUAUCUCCGUGCCAGCAGCCGAGGUAAUACAGAGGGUGCAAGAGUUAAUCCCAAUUACUGGGCGUAAAGCGCACGCUUGCGGUCUGUCAAGUCAGAUGUGAAAUCCUCGGACUCAAUUUGGUAACUGCAUUCAAAACUGGGACGUUAGAUUUUUGUAGAGGGGGGUAUAAUUCCGGGUGUAGCGGUGAAAUGCGUAGACAUCUCGACGAUAUACCAGUGGGGAAUGCGGCCCUCUGCACAAACACUGACUCUCAGGUGCGAAAGUGUGGGGACCAAACUGGAUUAGAUACCUUGGUAGUCCACUCCGUAAACGAUGUCGACUUGGAGGUUGUUCCCUUGAAUUGAGUGGCUUCCGGAGCUAACGUGUUAACUCCGCCGUCGGCAUGGAGAGAACCGCCGCGAAGUUAACGACUCAUAUGAAUUGCCGGGGGCCCGACACACAACCGGUGGAGCAUGUGUUUUAGUUCUAUCCAACGCGAAAACCUUUUUCACUUUUGACCUCCAGAAACCUCCCCAGAAAUGCCUUGGUGCCAUCCGGAAAACCGAAAAAGGUGCUGCAUGUUUGGGCCCCGCCCGUGUUGUAAAAUGUCGGGUUUUUCCCCCCAAGAGCUUCCCCAUUUUCUUUUUGCCGCGUCUCUUCCGGAACUCAAUGAAAUCCCCUUUAACCGCAGAUGGGGGAAACUGAUUCUUCGGCCCUGAGAAAGCUCCCCCUCUAAGGCCCCCAAAAAACCACCCCGGAGAGAACCUAAAGGGCUCCCCAAAGAAACGCCCCCCCCGAAACAAAGCCAGAAUCAAACAGGAGGGGAACCACCGGUUUCCCCCCCCCCCGGGGUUCAAAAAGCUUCCCGGUCUUCCCUCAAUCGGAA